CUGCAAUUCAGUUCGACUCUUGCCGUCUCCAUAUUUAUUCCCGUGCAAAGACCAGAAAUCUUUCAGGGCUGACCACAAUAUUUUCCAAAUUACAUAUGAAAAAUAAAGAGACGGGACCACUGAAAGGAAUACAAUCAUGAUAUUGGAAUAAUUAUGGCGAUGAAUACGUCAUAACGCGCUGAUUAUGCUUAAAGCUUGAUUAACGAGUAUUCUCAAAAUAUACUCGAUUUCAGAACGCUGAAAGAUAAUAAAUACAGAUUUUAGAAGGGAAUAAAAAAAGCGAAGCAUGUAAAUUUCAGAAUCAGCAAAAAAUUUUAUUAGAGAUACACGAGGACGAUUGCAGUCGUAUUAUAUAUUGUAAGAAUAAUUAAUGCCGAUGAUUUGCAGACUCACAUGUAAGUACAACGUACAAUUUUAUAUAACAUUGAUUCAUUGACAAAUGCAAAAAGUAGCUUGUUCCAGCGACUAAAGCGACAUAAAUACCGCGGAAUAUAUUGUAAUAUGCUAAACUAAAUACCAUCGCAAUUUGCGGAUUAUGCACUAGUACACAAAUAUUUUUGGUUGAACUUUACGCUGAAAGAGAUCUCUUAAAGAGAGAGAGAAUAUGUGAUUAAUUAGUAGAAAUUUAUUAUGAGUUAUUCAUUACUGACUGACUCACUUAUUGAUUACUGACUGACGCUCACAAAGCAUAUGAAAAUAAAUAAAUACGUUAUGUUUUUUUUUUUCUUCAAAAUAGUUAUACGAUAUCGGAGACUUUGAGACAAUCGAUACAGUUCAGACACUGAACGUCUUGCAGCUUUGGUCCAUUCUUAUCUUAACUAAGCAUUAAGAAUUCGUUAAAGAAGUAUAUAAUUAAUUCUUAAAUAGCGUAAAGAUGUAUAAACUAAUGAUACGAAUAAUAAGGAUUGUCCCCAUUUGUUUUCGUUGUCCUUUAUCCAUAUUACUCGUCUAUACACAAAUAUCUGACAAAUUUGUCACGAAGCAUUGGACUGCUUCAAGAAAAAUACCACCGAAAGGAAAGUAGAAAAAAAAA